ACCAGCGAUGCCAGCCAACAUCAGGGUAUUUCCACCUGAUGUACCAGCAAGGCCACCAACCACCAGCCAGGAUCAAGGUGCCUCACAGCAUGGUUACCACCACUGCCAGCCACCAACUCCCCCUCUGGGGCAUGCUGUAUCCACUGAGCCUUCACAGCUGAUGAAAACUGUGCCCAGUGCUGCCUGAUGAGCUUUACCAGAUGGUUGGCCACCUCUGCCAUGACCUCUGCCCCAGGGUAAUCCCAGCCUGCCUCAUCAUGCAGCAAUUUCC
rnacentral:lncRNA from 1 species